rnacentral:rRNA from 1 species
CUGGCGGCGUGCCUAACACAUGCAAGUCGAGCGAUCUUCUUCGGAAGGGAGCGGCGGACGGGUGAGUAACGCGUGGGUAACCUGCCCUGUACACACGGAUAACAUACCGAAAGGUAUGCUAAUACGGGAUAACAUAAGAAAGUCGCAUGGAUUUCUUAUCAAAGCUUUUGCGGUACAGGAUGGACCCGCGUCUGAUUAGCUAGUUGGUAAGGUAACGGCUUACCAAGGCGACGAUCAGUAGCCGACCUGAGAGGGUGAUCGGCCACAUUGGAACUGAGACACGGUCCAAACUCCUACGGGAGGCAGCAGUGGGGAAUAUUGCACAAUGGGCGAAAGCCUGAUGCAGCAACGCCGCGUGAGCGAUGAAGGCCUUCGGGUCGUAAAGCUCUGUCCUCAAGGAAGAUAAUGACGGUACUUGAGGAGGAAGCCCCGGCUAACUACGUGCCAACAGCCGCGGUAAUACGUAGGGGGCUAGCGUUAUCCGGAAUUACUGGGCGUAAAGGGUGCGUAGGCGGUCUUUCAAGUCAGAAGUGAAAGGCUACGGCUCAACCGUAGUAAGCUUUUGAAACUGUAAGACUUGAGUGCAGGAGAGGAGAGUGGAAUUCCUAGUGUAGCGGUGAAAUGCGUAGAUAUUAGGAGGAACACCAGUUGCGAAGGCGGCUCUCUGGACUGUAACUGACGCUGAGGCACGAAAGCGUGGGGAGCAAACAGG